GGGGAACCUGCGGCUGGAUCACCUCCUUUCUAAGGAGCCGACGAUCCGCAAGGAUAGUCGGUACCUCAGCUACGAUCAGUAAGUCCUCGCAACCUCCUCCCUAGUUUUGAAAGACUGGCGAACGUUGGGCCUAUAGCUCAGUUGGCUAGAGCGUACCCCUGAUAAGGGUGAGGUCGGUAGUUCGACUCUACCCAGGCCCACCAUCUCAGCCGCGGUUCCGUUUGUGGGGCUGUAGCUCAGCUGGGAGAGCACCUGCUUUGCAAGCAGGGGGUCACCGGUUCGAUCCCGGUCAGCUCCACCAGAACUCAUUCGCUGCCUCCAGAUUGGCAUCUAGUGCAUCAAGUGCCGGGUUUCAAUCUGGAAGCAGGCUGGGCCUGUCCUUCGGGACGGUUUGGCAGGUUUCAACAGCCUCAGGGCUGGCCCGCUUCGGCGAAAGAAGCGGGCUUCGAUGUUUGACAACGAAAUUGAUUGGGUAACGCGUUUGGAAAAUGCUGCUUUGUCCGCCGUGAGGCGCGCGGGGCGGCGCAAGAUUUUCUGAACACGUUUGAAUACAAGGCCGAGCACAAGCAAUGAGUUAGUGAUAACUCAGGCAAGUGUUCAAGUAAGAAGAGUGUCUUUAGGAGAUGUAACUCGUGAGAGUUACUCUCAGAGGCGGAGAAUAGGUUAGCUCGCAAACAGGACCGAAGUGAUUCGGCUCCCUGCACGGAGUUAAUUCUAUGGUCAAGCUACUAAGGGCGCAC
rnacentral:tRNA from 1 species